rnacentral:rRNA from 1 species
GAUGAACGCUGGCGGCGUGCCUAAUACAUGCAAGUCGAGCGAACGGACGAGAAGCUUGCUUCUCUGAUGUUAGCGGCGGACGGGUGAGUAACACGUGGAUAACCUACCUAUAAGACUGGGAUAACUUCGGGAAACCGGAGCUAAUACCGGAUAAUAUUUUGAACCGCAUGGUUCAAAAGUGAAAGACGGUCUUGCUGUCACUUAUAGAUGGAUCCGCGCUGCAUUAGCUAGUUGGUAAGGUAACGGCUUACCAAGGCAACGAUGCAUAGCCGACCUGAGAGGGUGAUCGGCCACACUGGAACUGAGACACGGUCCAGACUCCUACGGGAGGCAGCAGUAGGGAAUCUUCCGCAAUGGGCGAGAGCAUGACGUAGCAACGCCGCGUGAGUGAUGAAGGUCUUCGGAUCGUAAAACUCUGUUAUUAGGGAAGAACAUAUGUGUAAGUAACUGUGCACAUCUUGACGGUACCUAAUCAGAAAGCCACGGCUAACUACGUG